AAUACAAAAUCGAUUAAACGUUAUUUAAUACUUCUAAUAGCAUUCGGAAUCAUCGAAACACCUGCUUUUUCCUUGUUUUGUGUAGGUUAGCGCACUUAACUAUCCUCAUGUCAAUAGGUAGAUAGAUAUAUGUCGAUAGGUAGGACGAUAGAUGCAAUCCGUACUGUAAUGCCUUAACGUCGAACUCUACCGGUUCUCUACUCGAAACGAUUGGCAUUGACUGGUGACAAAUGCGUAAUCACCUCGCAUUAACAGUGUACAUUCUGAAUGGGACCACAGUCCGGUUGGGCGACAGCAUAAGUCGUGUUCACCUAUCUAGAGUGGGCAUGAAACAGAUACAAUCAAGGACGUGUUAAGCAUAGGCUACUUGUAACUUCGUGUAAUUCAUAUUACUCCUCAUUGAACGAAAGUAGCGUAUUUCGAACAUGUAGAGGAGAAGGUGGCAACAUGAAACCCUGUCGGUAAAUUGAAAUCUCACUUUAAUACAAUAUUUCAG
rnacentral:misc_RNA from 1 species